rnacentral:ribozyme from 1 species
ACGCCGCUCAACGCUAUCAUCAGGAGAAUACUAGGAAGAACGGGAAACAAACAAGGCGCACUAGCACUGUCGGCCGACCCGUGGGGUGCGGUACGCAACCACGCGGAACGCAUCCUCUCGCGAAAGUCAACAAACAGAAUCACAAACGCG